rnacentral:rRNA from 1 species
AGUAAAGUUUAAAUGGRUUACAAUAAAAUUUAUUUAUAAUGGAUUUUUAUAUGAAAUUGUAGUUUGAAGGUGAAUUUGAUAGUAAUUUAUUUUAUAAUAUUUAUUUGAUUUUAGCUCUAAAAUAUGUACA